UACGGGGGGGGGCAAGCGUUGUUCGGAAUUACUGGGCGUAAAGGGCUCGUAGGCGGCCAACUAAGUCAGACGUGAAAUCCCCAGGCUCAACCUGGGAACUGCGUCCGAUACUGGCUGGCUUGAAUCCGGGAGAGGGAUGCGGAAUUCCAGGUGUAGCGGUGAAAUGCGUAGAUAUCAGGAGGAACACCGGUGGCGAAGGCGGUUCUCUGGGCAUGUCCUGACGCUGAGGAGCGAAAGUGUGGGGAGCGAACAGG
rnacentral:rRNA from 1 species